CUUCAGCGAGCCCAGCCACAGCGGGCGGUCCGCCUCCCGGUCCUGGCCGUAGGUGGCCAGGACCGCCUGGGCCUC
rfam:Streptomyces sp. M41(2017) strain M41 M41_contig2, whole genome shotgun sequence.